AACAGAUGUACUGAGAGACUCCUGCACUGAUGUUUCAUAGGAAAGUCCAAACAGCCUCACUGGUUCUACAUGAAGAACAAAGAUUUGCUCUCUGUGGCUCCAACACAACUUAAAGACAAUCAAAGGGAAAGCGGAUGGAUUAUACCAAGCUCACACUUUUUAUCUUCAUAUGGAUUUUUUUCCCAACCUGAUGAUCAGAAGAGUGUUUGAGGAUUCAAGACUUUCUGAAGAACAACAGUAAAAACAAGAAAAACAUCACAGCUGAGUCUGGACAGGACGUCACUCUGACAUGUCGAGCUCCAAAUAAUAAUCCCAUCAUUGUUUUAAAAUGGAGCAGAGCUGACCUGGGAGAUGAGUAUUUGCUUUUGUACAAGAAUAAGCGAUUUGAAACAGAUGACCAGCAUCCAUCUUUUAGGAACCGGGUGGAUCUGCAGGACAGACAGAUGAAGGAUGGAGACGUGUCUUUGAUUCUGAAGGAUGUGACCAUUAAUGACACUGGAACAUACGAGUGUAUUGUCAUUGCCGGAGGUGGAGGCAGGCCGAAGCUCAUCAACAGCACCAACCUUCAUGUUGUUCCUCCAGGUGAGUGAGUAGAGUUGAGUGUGUGUGUGAUCAGAGGUGAAGCUGCUUCCUGGUUGUUGAUGUUUGUUUCUAAAGAUGUUGUUGAUGAGACUUUGUAGAAAGCAGCUGGUCUGAGUGAUGUGAUCAGAGUGCAGUAGAUAAUGUCUGACAGCAGUUUGAAGAGGAAAUGGAUUCUGUUCUGUUCUUCACUCAUCACCUACCUGACAGCUGACACCUCACACCUGUUUCUCACCUGCAGGUCAGACAGGAGGAGACACAGAGGAUGGAGGGAAGGAGGCAGGAUCUGUUGGACUGAAAGUUGGUCUGAGUGUUCCUGCUUUGCUUCUUGUUGCUGCUUUUGUUGGAUUUUUGAUCUACAGAAAACGUGAAAAAAACAAAGAGUCAAGAGCUGUACCAGAUUCCUGCUGAAUUGCAGUCUGUUUGAAAUGUGAGUUCUUUACAGCUGAACUCCUGGAGUCUGAGUCUCCUGAUGAGCCAGACUUCAUUUAUUGUUAUUGAACAUUCAGAAGAUGAUCUGAGGACAGACAUCAGUCAGCUGUCGGUGAUUUGAAGUUACUGUUUUUGUUUAUUUGUUUGCUUUGUGUGCAUCAGUAUUAGUUAUUAGUUUGUUUUAGCUUCCAGGUUAGUCGCUCAUCUCAGUGCAAGAGUUUAUGUUCUUAAACAGUGUUAUUUACACUUUUGCCUUAUUUAUAUGUGGAACAUUCAGGACUUCAUCAUCCAAACAAACACAAGUUAUAAAUCUGAGAAUAAGAUCAGUGAUAUUCAACAACAAAAUAUUUAGUUUCAUUUCACAAACAUC